AAACCUUCAACAUUCCAGAAAAAUAAGAAGAAAAUGGAUGUUAAGUACAAAAGUAAACAAGAGGGCUCAUAUAUCAGCGAUCAGAAAUAUCACAUCCGACAAUAUGGUGUGUGAGUGAUCGAGAGGAGUAGCCUAGUGACCGAGGAAGAGCAUCGGGUACACCGUUUUUUGAAACCGCAGGCUGCAGUAUCCUGCUUUCCACUGUCCAAACCGUCCAGGAGCUUCCCUAGGAUGGAGUGGUGCCGGCAGAACUCCUGGGUCCCCCUACAAGGAUAUCUGCCCACUGCCUUGGCGCAAAGUGCUUCAUGGUGUUGUACUCACAGUGCAACACCACAAGUGUAGUGUCCAGAGCAUGGAGGCUCUACCAGGAGACAGGCCAGUACAUCAGGAGACUUUCCAGGAGUUGGCAGAUGCUUUAGUCCAGGUCUGGGAGGACAUCCC